ensembl:lncRNA
AUUUAAGGUAAACUCUUAGCUGGGAGCCCCUGUACAAAUGAAAAGAAAGUUAAACACUUCCAGUAUUCAGUGGCACAAGAUAGACAUUUCCAUUCCAAAAGGUACAGACAGGAGGACAGAAAGGAACAGGACCAAAGCAAGUCCAAACUCCAGCCGGGAAAAUACUAAGACCCGUAGCUCCAUGUCCAGCAUGCAAGACAACCUGUGAUGAAAUAAUAAAUAAAGCUGCUGCGAACAUUCCAGUGUGGGUCAUCCCUGUGAGAACAAGCCCUCCUUCAUCUUGGCAGGAGACCUCAGGCCGAUGGCUGAGUUGCAGGAAGGGCACAUGUUGGAUUGAAUAAGGGACUGAGAGCCUGUUUUACGAAGUGGUAGUGUCAUUUUACACUCCUACUCCCAGUGUUUGAGAGUUCCAGCUGCUCCCUAUCCUCAACAGCACUUAGUGUUAUCAGUCUUUUUCUGCUGGCCAUACUAAUGAGUUGCAGUGGUAUCUUGUGCUGUCUUCAGUGUGCAUUUAUUUCCUCGCCGAUGCUGUUGAGCCUCCUCUAGCAUGUUUGUUGACCAUGCAGGCAACCUAUUCUGAAAAAUUUUUUUUUGGUACCGGCGAUUGAACUCGGGUCCUUGCGCUUGCAAGGCAGGCGGCGAAACCACUGAGCUAAAUCCCUGGCCCUCUGCAAAAUUUUUGUUCAAGGCUUUUUGUCAAUUUUGAAAUCAAAUUACUUGCGUUUUAAUAAAAUACAAGCUUAUCAUAUUUUACUUUAGAAAUUCUUCAUGUAUUCUAGAUUCUAGUCCUUUGCCAGAGAUACACAUUGUGAAACAUUUCUCUCUGCUUGGCUUUUCACUUUCUUAAUGUUGCUUCUUAAUGCUCUUCUGAGGAGGAGACGUUUUUAGCUUUGAUAUAGGUAAAAUAUGUAAUAUCUAAUAAUGUUUAACUAAAACAUAUCAUCUUUUCCUUUUAUUGUUAUGGUUAAUUUUAUAAUGUACUAAGACAUCUUUUCUUAUCUCUAAAUUCUGAUAUUUUAUAUUUUCUUCUGGAAGCUUUAUGGUUUUGGUCCAUCUCAAAUUUUCCUCAUUGUUAUAAUGGGAGCAGUUGCCUUUCACAAGUUCC